rnacentral:rRNA from 1 species
GACGAACGCUGGCGGCGUGCCUAAUACAUGCAAGUAGAACGCACAGUUUAUACCGUAGCUUGCUACACCAUAGACUGUGAGUUGCGAACGGGUGAGUAACGCGUAGGUAACCUGCCUGGUAGCGGGGGAUAACUAUUGGAAACGAUAGCUAAUACCGCAUAAUAUUAAUUAUUGCAUGAUAAUUGAUUGAAAGGUGCAAAUGCAUCACUACCAGAUGGACCUGCGUUGUAUUAGCUAGUAGGUGAGGUAACGGCUCACCUAGGCGACGAUACAUAGCCGACCUGAGAGGGUGAUCGGCCACACUGGGACUGAGACACGGCCCAGACUCCUACGGGAGGCAGCAGUAGGGAAUCUUCGGCAAUGGACGAAAGUCUGACCGAGCAACGCCGCGUGAGUGAAGAAGGUUUUCGGAUCGUAAAGCUCUGUUGUAAGAGAAGAACGGGUGUGAGAGUGGAAAGUUCACACUGUGACGUAUCUACCAGAAAG